rnacentral:rRNA from 1 species
UAAUACGGAGGGCGCAAGCGUUGUUCGGAAUCAUUGGGCGUAAAGCGCGUGUAGGCGGCUUGGCAAGUCGGAUGUGAAAUCCCGGGGCUCAACCCCGGAACUGCAUUCGAAACUGCCUCGCUAGAGUCCCGGAGAGGAGGGCGGAAUUCCCGGUGUAGAGGUGAAAUUCGUAGAUAUCGGGAGGAACACCAGUGGCGAAGGCGGCCCUCUGGACGGUGACUGACGCUGAGAUGCGAAAGCGUGGGGAGCAAACAGGAUUAGAUACCCUGGUAGUCCACGCUGUAAACGUUGGGUGCUAGGUGUCGCGGGUAUUGACCCCUGCGGUGCCGACGCUAACGCAUUUAGCACCCCGCCUGGGGAGUACGGUCGCAAGGCUAAAACUCAAAUGAAUUGACGG